GGAGUUGUGGCUCAGUGGUGGAGUGCUUGCCUUGCAUGCAUGAGGCACUGGGUUCAAUCCCCAGCACCA
rnacentral:tRNA from 1 species